rnacentral:rRNA from 1 species
AUUGAACGCUGGCGGCAGGCCUAACACAUGCAAGUCGAACGAGUGGCGGACGGGUGAGUAAUGUCUGGGAAACUGCCCGAUGGAGGGGGAUAACUACUGGAAACGGUAGCUAAUACCGCAUACCAUCGGAUGUGCCCAGAUGGGAUUAGCUAGUAGGUGGGGUAACGGCUCACCUGGGCGACGAUCCCUAGCUGGUCUGAGAGGAUGACCGGCCACACUGGAGCUGGGACAGGGUCCAUACUCCUACGGGAGGCAGCAGUGGGGAAUAUGGCACAAUGGGCGCAAGCCUGAUGCAGCCAUGCCGCGUGUAUGAAGAAGGCCUUCGGGUUGUAAAGUACUUUCAGCGGGGAGGCGUUACUCGCAGAAGAAGCACCGGCUAACUCCGUGCCAGCAGCCGCGGUAAUUC